GACGAACGCGGGCGGCGUGCCUAAUACAUGCAAGUCGAACGCACGAAGUUGAAGAGCUUGCUCUUUAACCAAGUGAGUGGCGGACGGGUGAGUAACACGUGGGUAACCUGCCCAUUAGAGGGGGAUAACAUUCGGAAACGGAUGCUAAUACCGCAUAGUUUCAGGGAUCGCAUGAUUCUUGAAGGAAAGGUGGCUCCGGCUACCACUAAUGGAUGGACCCGCGGCGUAUUAGCUAGUUGGUGAGGUAAUGGCUCACCAAGGCAAUGAUACGUAGCCGACCUGAGAGGGUGAUCGGCCACACUGGGACUGAGACACGGCCCAGACUCCUACGGGAGGCAGCAGUAGGGAAUCUUCCGCAAUGGACGAAAGUCUGACGGAGCAACGCCGCGUGAGUGAAGAAGGUUUUCGGAUCGUAAAACUCUGUUGUUAAAGAAGAACAAGGAUGAGAGUAACUGCUCAUCCCCUGACGGUAUUUAACCAGAAAGCCACGGCUAACUACGUGCCAGCAGCCGCGGUAAUACGUAGGUGGCAAGCGUUGUCCGGAUUUAUUGGGCGUAAAGCGAGCGCAGGCGGUUCUUUAAGUCUGAUGUGAAAGCCCCCGGCUCAACCGGGGAGGGUCAUUGGAAACUGGAGAACUUGAGUGCAGAAGAGGAGAGUGGAAUUCCACGUGUAGCGGUGAAAUGCGUAGAUAUGUGGAGGAACACCAGUGGCGAAGGCGACUCUCUGGUCUGUAACUGACGCUGAGGCUCGAAAGCGUGGGGAGCAAACAGG
rnacentral:rRNA from 1 species